rnacentral:tRNA from 1 species
AAAAAGGUAAGCUAAGCAAAGCUAAUAGGUUCAUACCCUGUUUAUGAAAGCCCCCCCUUUCCCUUUUUA